CCAACGGCCCUCUUUAGGGCCACACUCCUCAUAUAAAACACUGAUAU
rfam:Steinernema glaseri strain NC unplaced genomic scaffold GLAS_7503, whole genome shotgun sequence.